AAGAAAGAAAUGAAAGAAAAAGAAAGAAAGAAAGAAAGAAAGAAAGAAAGGAAGGAAGGAAGAAAAGGAGAGAGGCUUUCCUUUGAGUGCGUUCUUUGGGGCAGAGGUACAUCUCCCUUCCUGGCUCCUCCCCAACUCUCCGCUUCUGGUCUUCCAUCGGUGGCACCUUCUCCUAUGCUGUGCCCCUCGGCUACCCCGUCCUGCCUUGGAGCCCUCUGACUAUGGACCGAGACCUCUGCAAACUGUGAGCCAAGCAUUAAUCUGCUGGAAUUUGGAGGAAGGAUUUUGCUCCCUGUUUGAAAAGAACCAUUGCCACUUGCCCUACUCCUAUCUACUCUGAAGUGAUGUGAGCUGUGGAAUAGGACAUCAAGGCCAAGGAUGACAACUGACACUGCAAGAGCAACGUCCUUCACAGGCACCAUGCUUUCAACCUGGUCUGACCCGUGACCUGCUACUGCGGAUCCUCCAAGUCCAGGUCAAGGAGCCAUGGUGGCUCCAACACCAGCCACAGAAAGCAAUACAUCUGCAUGCUGAGCCCCAGAGCCCUCCUCCGAUGAUCCCGAGACCGCUAUACUUACAAUUUUACUGGUUGGUUAUAAUUUGACCCUUGUUGUACCCACUUCAUAAUUUUGCUCUGUAAAACUCAGAGAAGUGAGCUCUGUGGCAGCCCACUUUCAAGUCCCCUCCUGUCUCUCAAAAGCUACUUCUUUCAAUAAAUUUUCCAACUCCCAA